UACGGAGGGGGCUAGCGUUGUUCGGAAUGACUGGGCGUAAAGCGCGCGUAGGCGGAUCAUCAAGUCGGGGGUGAAAUCCCGGGGCUCAACCCCGGAACGGCCUUCGAGACUGGUGGUCUUGAGUUCGAGAGAGGUGGGUGGAAUUCCGAGUGUAGAGGUGAAAUGCGUAGAUAUUGGGAGGAACACCAGUGGCGAAGGCGGCUACCUGGACCGGUUCUGACGCUGAGGCGCGAAAGCGUGGGUAGCAAACAGG
rnacentral:rRNA from 1 species